UAAUUGAAGAGUUUGAUCAUGGCUCAGAUUGAACGCUGGCGGCAGGCCUAACACAUGCAAGUCGAACGGUAACAGGGAGCAGCUUGCUGCUCUGCUGACGAGUGGCGGACGGGUGAGUAAUGUCUGGGAAACUGCCUGAUGGAGGGGGAUAACUACUGGAAACGGUAGCUAAUACCGCAUAACGUCUUCGGACCAAAGUGGGGGACCUUCGGGCCUCAUGCCAUCAGAUGUGCCCAGAUGGGAUUAGCUAGUAGGUGGGGUAACGGCUCACCUAGGCGACGAUCCCUAGCUGGUCUGAGAGGAUGACCAGCCACACUGGAACUGAGACACGGUCCAGAC
rnacentral:rRNA from 1 species